UUCAGGGGUGGUAUAGUACGUCAUCAACAGGUGCGCCCAACACUUCCCGAUGCGGCUUUUUUGUGUCAAAACAUCUCGAUUCGGUACAUGAAAGAUGAAAAAGGAAACAAAACUUCUAGUCUGCAUCAAUGGAAUUGUCAAUAUAUGUUAAAAAGUAUUGCUGAGUGAUCGGCAUGCAAGACAUAAUUGAGGUAUUAUAUUUUCCAAAAGCUGUACGACAUAAUAUUUGAGAAGUGGAGAAUAUCCUCUAACGGAAUUACCCAAGACAAGGAUUUCAACGCUCAACUAGGUCUUCGUACCGAACACGACUAUGUCGGUUGCUGUUUGAAGGGCCACGUGAUCAUCACAAUUGCUCGGGAAAAUGAGAAAUUACUGUAUCGCACCAACGAAAUGUUCUUAUUAAGGAGUUUUAGAUGUGCGCAGGGAAAAAACAAGAGUGACUGCAACCGAAUUAUAAUUACCAUGUAGUAGAAUGGGACAUCGACUGAAUCUACACUAGAAAGUGGUUCAGGAUUAAAUAUUUGACUAAUGUUCAGAUUUUGCCUGCAAAUCUUAGUGCACCCAAUUACAUGUUAAAACUCGAAGUGAGCUUGAACAGUGGUAGAACAAUUUUACUCGCAAUGUAAAUUAUUUUACUUUUCUUAAACUGUUUAGUUGUUGAAAAUGAUGUUGUAUAAAAGAUUAUUUAAAAUAGGAAAUUUUACUGAUUUUUUUAUUUAACCCUUACACAGUGGAAGCCGUUGUGACAUAAACAUACGCACAUACACUUUCAAGACAUAGCAACAUUUUCCAUUUUCCUUUUUUAUCAGCUAAUGUUAUAUAUUUACACAAAUCAACGAAAGUAGAUUUAUUACUUGAUUGUAGCAAUUCUAAAUUUUAUACACACUUAUACGAAUAUAAUGAUAACGUUUCAUUAACUUUGGACGUAAUUCUUUAUAACUCAACAUUUAAAAAAAUGAAAUUCACCUUAAGUUUCAUUAAGAUCGCAUAUCUGACAAAUUCGUUCCACAUUGUAUGCUUUAAUUUUCUUCGAUCAAGAAGUAGUGUACAUCUCUAUGUCACAUAUUCUCAACAAUUGGAAAUAUUCAGACACGACAGGGAACCCUAAAAUAAUUACAAAACUUUUAUGGUAAUUUUAGUGUAAAAGAAAAACG